AAUAUUGCACAAUGGAGGAAACUCUGAUGCAGCGACGCCGCGUGAGCGAUGAAGGCUUUCGAGUCGUAAAGCUCUGUCCUAGGGGACGAUAAUGACGGUACCCUAGGAGGAAGCCCCGGCCAACUACGUGCCAGCAGCCGCGGUAAUACGUAGGGGGCGAGCGUUGUCCGGAAUUAUUGGGCGUAAAGGGUUCGCAGGCGGCCUUUUAAGUCAGAUGUGAAAGCCCACAGCUUAACCGUGGUAAGCAUUUGAAACUGGAAGGCUUGAGUUAAGGAGAGGAAAGUGGAAUUCCUAGUGUAGCGGUGAAAUGCGUAGAUAUUAGGAGGAACACCAGUGGCGAAGGCGACUUUCUGGACUGUAACUGACGCUGAUGCACGAAAGCGUGGGUAGCGAACAGG
rnacentral:rRNA from 1 species